ACAUCAAUCUCAUUAUCAAUGUGUACAUCCCUACCAAGAGAUGGACAAUGGAGGCAUCCCUGAACUUCUGGAGGAUAACCUCCUUUUGUCAUAUAAUCCAGAAAAUUUCAGUCAGCUUUUGUAUGAGAAGCGGGCCCCCUGCCUUAUAAAUCUCAGCUGGAAUAGAAUCAGCACCAGGUCCUUUGCCACAUGACAGGAGCUUAAUGGCAUUCAAAACCUCUUCUUCAGUUGGAAGUUCAGCUAGAGAGGGAUUGACUUCAACCUGAGAACUUAUGCCAGUUUCACAGAGCUCCCCAUCACUUCAGCCACUCCAGAAAAAAUGUGUAUCCAGCUCCAGCUUCAGUAAGCUGGCCUUCACUUGCCAGUUUUGCUUCACUUAGGGCUGCCAUUUGGAUGCAACACAUGCUGAGUCUUCUCAAAACAAGAGCUGUUCAUCUUUUGGGUCUACUGGAUUUUUAUAAAUGUACACACAUUCCAUGCACCAAUGAGGAGCAGGACAAUAGAGUUACAUACCAACCAGCCAAUUAGAAGGGUUUCUGAGGCUCAGAGCUGCUUGACAUACCAAUGAUCUUUUGCAAGUGAAUUCUAGCUGAAUUUGGAGAUGCCUGUAUCUGCCAGAAACCACAGAACCAGCCUUGACCAGCUCAAGGGUAACCUUGAACAGAAGCUGCAGACUCACGACCUUGCUCGGGACUUUCUAAACAUCCUGGUCCCUAGCUUAUUGUGAUUAUAGAUGUCUUCUCCCUUAACCCCUGCUCUCCACCCAAAAGCCUCUAGAAACUAUAUUGUCUCACCCUUUUUCCACUCCCCUUUGAGCAGCUGAGAACUCUCUCUCCCUCUCUGCUUCCCUGCAGGAUCUUCUAUCGCCUGCAAGCUUUUCUCACACAAUAAACACUUUGUAAUCUGUUAA